AUAUAUAUAUCGAGAGAGUUAAUAGUAUCAAACACUUCGCGCUACUUCAGCCAACUACUCACUCAACUCUAGAGGACCAUUAUCAUCCUAAUCGCACAUGGCUUCAUCUAAGGGCCAAAACUUAAUAUAUAGCACCAACAACUUGAUAUUAUUAAUAGUAUUCUAGUUUAGCUCUCUCUCUCUCUCUCUUGGUACUUUUAAUUUUUUUGACUUUUGGAUAAACUUAUUUGAUCAUUUCUAACCGUUCGAUUAAUUUUGUUAUCCUGAAGGGACCACUAACUCCUGGGAUACUACUCAACUCUAAGGGACCACUCUCAUCCUAACCGUACAGUUCUUGAUCCAAUGGCUAAAAAGUAAAAAAUACUAACUCUUUUAUACUUCUGAAAAUGUAAUAGCUCUACACUACAUGAGUCUGUCUACUAUGCUAUCAAUAGUACCAAACGCUUAGUGCUAUUAAGUUUUUUGUCGUUAGAUUUAUCUUUUUGACCAUUUUCAUUCGUUAAAUCAUAUAUACUAUGCAACCAACACCUUACGCGACCCUAGGAGACUACUAGAUCACUAUUAUCCUAACCGAAGAUUACUUUAUUCAAGGGCCGAAAUCCUAAUAGCACUAAAUCAUUAGUGCUAUUAAUAGUAUAGUAUAGUAGUCUAAUAGUCUAGUUAGAUUAAUAACACUAAGUUAUUGACGCUAUUAAAUUUUUGGCCUUAAAUGAACAGAUAUGCGGUUAGAAUAAUAAUAAUUUUUUAGAAUUGAGUGAACUGUAAUUGAAUAGUAUGAUGAAAAUGAUCAACUAAUUAAUAUAC
rnacentral:lncRNA from 1 species